UGGGGGAGUAGGAGGAAGGAAGAGAAAAAGGAAAAACAGAAAACAGGAAGAAUAAGAAAGCAUCGCAGAAGCUGAAACCACAGCAUUCUUCCACACAGAGCUGUCCCCAAUCAGGAAGUGGAACGGCCGAAGUGUACAUGCUGAUUGGUCACUUGGUGCUGAGCCACCAAAAAAGGCCAGCAUUUCUUUGAGGAAGUGAAACAAGUGGGACAUCAUGAUCAGCAGUCCAUCCUAGCAACACGGUUGCUGUGAACGAUCGCUGAACCAACUCUGUACAAUCCUGUAUCUAUAACUCUGCCCUGCUGAACAAUCUCAUGGUACAUCUCAUGUACAGUACACAUUUUGGUAAAAAGAACAUUGUUUAUUUACUUAUUAAUACUCACCUAUACCAUACCUAUCAAAGGGACUUAUGCUAAUAUUCAGUGGCACAAUGUACUUAUGAAUACGUAUUACUUAUUAUUAUCGAUAGCACUGUUGAUAACUGAUGCUGUGGUGUCUUUAGCCCCGAGGGGAGGAAUACUUUAACAGUCUGAGUUGUGUUUGUAAUUCUAGGUCAUUGACCUGAGGUGCUGUCUGCAGUGCUCUCACACACAGCGUGUUCAAACAGGAACUUCAUUCUGCCGGUGAAGCAGAAACUGCGGCAUUUUGCAGUGUGGCGGGUCAUCCUCUUCGGUCCGUAAGAAAGUCUCGUUGCCAAAGGGUCUGUUUUAUCAAAGUGACUCCCUUUCGUGUCUUGUUUAUCAUCUGCUUGUACAUAUCAGCAGAAACUUCAGGCUCAGUCGGACCAGACUUAUGUUGCUGUGUUCUGUGUUCUGUGUUCUGCCUGCAGACAGACAGACACUGUCUGGCGUGAAGGCAAGGCAGCUUUGUCUGGGUGUAAUCAGCCGCUGCUGAGGAAUCUCCUCGGAACAGACGCUUACAUUUGUCAGGAGAAAGAGAAACAACAGUAUGUCGCUGUCGGUACAGCAAGGAUGUUGAUAGGACCAAGUGCCAAGCACUUAUAAUCAUUAGGUUAACCCAUUCCCCGUAUACGAUAGAUAGGACAAGAUGCUACCCAAUGCUAAGUAUUAUUUUUAAAGCCAAGGACGUACACCAUACAAUAAGUGCGUACAUUAAGUGCCAGGACGCACAACAUACAAUAAGUGCAUAUAUGUGUGCUAUGAUGUAUUUAGAGGGAGGACGAUCGAUUAACGGAACUGCAAUCGUACUCAUCCUUGGGGCGUGGGUUGUUUAUGUAAGCACCGCAUUCCUGGUCCCAAAUAUUACAUAAAAAACACUUUGCUCCUUCGCUGGUAUCCUGCUGCAGGAGGACAGGAGCCCUAUAAGGACUCUUUCCUGAAGCCCCCGUCCAGAUCUGUGAUGAUGUCACUGGACUUCCGGACAGCGUUCCAUCUUUGGUCCGACGUGGGGCCGUUUCGUCUCCGUCGGUUCUUCCGACGGUUCGGUCAAGAAUGAUCAAUUGAUUUAGACCAAUGAUGUGCAUUUAAAGCUAGCACUAGAUCGGCUCGAUCUAGUCUAGGAAUCCUCUCUGUAUGAAUUAUAUUUAGAUUUGAUAUUCUAUAUCGACACAAACAUUGCCCUGGGAGCCCCUCUCUCUCUCUCUCUCUCUCUCUCUCUCUCUCUCUCUCUCUCUCUCUCUCUCUCUCUCUCUCUCUCUC
ensembl:lncRNA